rnacentral:rRNA from 1 species
ACGGAAGGCAGCAGUGGGGAAUAUUGGACAAUGGGGGAAACCCCGAUCCAGCGACGCCGCGUGAGUGAAGAAGUAUUUCGGUAUGUAAAGCUCUAUCAGCAAGGAAGAAAAUGACGGUACUUGACUAAGAAGCUCCGGCUAAAUACGUGCCAGCAGCCGCGGUAAUACGUAUGGAGCAAGCGUUAUCCGGAUUUACUGGGUGUAAAGGGAGCGUAGACGGUAAAGCAAGUCUGAAGUGAAAUCCCGGGGCUCAACCCCGGAACUGCUUUGGAAACUGUUUAACUAGAGUGCAGGAGAGGUAAGCGGAAUUCCUAGUGUAGCGGUGAAAUGCGUAGAUAUUAGGAGGAACACCAGUGGCGAAGGCGGCUUACUGGACUGUAACUGACGUUGAGGCUCGAAAGCGUGGGGAGCAAACAGGAUUAGAUACCCUGGUA